UACGUAGGGGGCCAGCGUUGUUCGGAAUUAUUGGGCGUAAAGGGCGCGUAGGCGGUUUUGACAAGUCUGAUGUGAAAUCUAUGGGCUCAACCCAUAGCCUGCAUUAGAAACUGUCGGGCUUGAGUAUGGGAGAGGUGAGUGGAAUUUCCGGUGUAGCGGUGAAAUGCGUAGAUAUCGGAAGGAACACCUGUGGCGAAAGCGGCUCACUGGACCAUAACUGACGCUGAGGCGCGAAAGCUAGGGGAGCA
rnacentral:rRNA from 1 species